rnacentral:lncRNA from 1 species
AAAAAAGUCCAGAUAUCUGAAAUCUAAAAUUCAAAGGUUUGAGAAGCCUAGAGAACCUGAAAUUUUGAAAUCCAAAUCCAAAAAUCAGAAAGUUUGAAUAAAAUGGUUUGAAUUUAGCUGUGAAAUCAAAUUUUGGGGGUGAUUAUACUGCUGAUCCUCAAUUGGUUUUGAUUGAGAUUCAAACAUUAUUAUUCUUGUUUUAAGAAACUAUUCCUACUUUGUUUUGUUGCUGGUUCAAAGUUGCUGCUACUGCCCUGCUUCAUUGAUCCUCACUCUUCUAUUCCUUUUCCAAUUCCAGGUACACAACUUUGUAAGCCUUUUAAUUGUAAAGUGAAAACUUGAGGAAUGAAUCAAUUUGAAGAUUUGAAGCAUGAGCAUUUGUCUAUUUUGUUUUAUGAUUUGCCUUGUAGUUUACUGUGGUUUCUGUCUAAGUUUGCUUUAAAUGAAUGGCUUGUAAUUAUUGGCACCAGUGAUCUGAGGUUCAUGUGCUGGACUUUUAGUUCAUCUCCUUGAUUUCCCUCAUGUUUUGAAUGAUUUUGUUUCAUUAAUAGACAUAUAAUAUAUUAGGUUCAUUGCUCGAGCAUCAUGUGUUAAGAUCUAGUACAUGACUAGCUUGGAUUAGUUAUGAUGGGAUUUAUUGAAAGGUUUAUUAUUGGUGGCUUCUGCUUGUGGACUUGAUUGUUCAUGGGCCAAAUCAACAUGAAUUAAGCUCAACAUUAAGCAUGUUAAUAAUUGUGGUGUUAUUAAGUAUUUGUCCUAAUAGUUUGACCCAUGAAAGUUUCACUCAAGAUAGCUAAUGUCAUUUUGAAGUUCAGUUUUGAGCUGUCCUAGAAUUAUACAGUUUAGUCAUAAUCUCCUUUGUAUGAGUUGUUUCCUUCAUUUUAGGCUCGAAAUUUAUUAUAAUGGGUAGUUAGAAAUAAUUAUAGGCUUAGAGUUCUUCAGUUGGAAUUUCCUGACCUUGGGUUCACUCAAUGCCCAAGUUCUAUAAUAAUCGAUUGCUCAUUAUCUACUGAAGUAAAUUAGGUAUAUCAUUAGUUUGAAUAACAUACUGUGUUUGGUCUAUUGCAAGUACAUUAAAAAGAGAUCAAAUGCGUUAAGAUAAAUGAGCUUGCAGUAUUGCAUGGACCAUUUGGGACCAUAAGGAUUGGGUCUAAUGUAGCCCAGUUAUAGAAUAACAAGCCCACGAAUUAUCCGCCUUUUGAACCAAGGCAGUUUGGUAAAUUGUGGACAGUUAGGAACACCUCUAAAUUGGGCUUGUGCUGAGACCCAAUGUUAGACAGCUUCUUAUGAAGCUGAAUGAAUUAUCCUUCUUCUUGGACUAGUUUCGAAGCCCAAUGUGCUGAAUGCCUUAAUUAAGGCUAUUGGUUUAAAUUUGCAAUGGUGGCCGUGGGCCUUUCAAGCUAAGUGGUAAACUUGAAUUAAGGGUUCUCAAAUAAUGAAGAUUUCCCUUGUGUUAAUUCGGACUUGACCUUGGGGCCCGAGUUUUCUUAAAUACUUUGAUGUUAAUUAAUUUAUAAUGUUGAUAAGUUAAGUUCUUCUUAGAAUAGAGACAUCCUUAAUAGAGAAUAAUAGUUCAUUUUUAGGACAUCCUUUAAAAUAAGUUGAGAAAAAUUCACAAAUUGUGUGGCCCUCUUUAAUUAUAGUCAUUAAAAUAAUUAGAAAUCGGGACGGCCAUUUUGGUAAUUUUCAUAGCAUCCCGUAAAGAUAUCAACGCGCUAGUAGCUUUAAGUGCGCAUUUUAAUAAAUCUACCUUCUUAAACUCGGGUACAUAUUUCAUAUGACCCAAAUCCAAAUCCUAACAUGUUGAAUAUAAUAUGUUGCGGAUCCGUGAGUAUUUCAUGUGACGUGAUCCAAAAACACGUUUUAAACUACGUUCAAUCUUUCUUAAAAUUAAUUAAAAGCGGUAAAUAACUUUUAAUUGCACUAUAGGUUUGAACAUGUAUUAAAAUCAGAUAAUAGGCCAAUUGUAAUAGUUUAAGCGACUGUGCUAGAACCACGGAUUCCGGGAGUUCCUAUCACCUUCCCUCGGGUUAACAGAAUUCCUUAUUCAAAAUUUCUGGUUCGCAAACUUCAAAAGGAAAGUCGAAUUUUUUUUGAUUUGGCAUUUAAAAUAAAUCGGUGACAGUCACUGUCAGCAGAAUUACACUAUCCUUCCGUGGAUGGUGUGCAAAAAAAAGGUGUGACAGACACUGUCAGCAAAAUUACAUGCUCUAAUUAAAGGACUUAAAUUGGUGUUUCAACAUAAUUUGCAGCCACUAGAAGUUGAGGUGGAUGCAAAAGAAAUAGUUACAAUGUUACAAACUAUUAAUUUUUCAUUUGUUAAUAUGUUGAAUGACUGCAGGUACCUUCUCGGCCAACUUAAUAAUCCACUUGUCCAACAUGCGUAUAGAGAACAAAAUCGCAUAACAGAUCAGCUAGCAAAAGCAGGAAAUAUUUAGC